GAGCGGAACGAUCCUAGCUUGCUAGGAGGCGUCGAGCGGCGGACGGGUGAGUAAUGCAUAGGAAUCUGCCCGGUAGUGGGGGAUAACCUGAGGAAACUCAGGCUAAUACCGCAUACGUCCUACGGGAGAAAGCAGGGGCUCUUCGGACCUUGCGCUAUCGGAUGAGCUUAUGUCGGAUUAGCUGGUUGGUGAGGUAACGGCUCACCAAGGCGACGAUCCGUAGCUGGUCUGAGAGGAUGAUCAGCCACAUCGGGACUGAGACACGGCCCGAACUCCUACGGGAGGCAGCAGUGGGGAAUAUUGGACAAUGGGGGCAACCCUGAUCCAGCCAUGCCGCGUGUGUGAAGAAGGCCCUCGGGUUGUAAAGCACUUUCAGUGAGGAAGAAGGCUUGUCGGUUAAUACCCGGCAAGAAAGACAUCACUCACAGAAGAAGCACCGGCUAACUCCGUGCCAGCAGCCGCGGUAAUACGGAGGGUGCGAGCGUUAAUCGGAAUUACUGGGCGUAAAGCGUGCGUAGGCGGCUUGAUAAGCCGGUUGUGAAAGCCCCGGGCUCAACCUGGGAACGGCAUCCGGAACUGUCAGGCUAGAGUGCAGGAGAGGAAGGUAGAAUUCCCGGUGUAGCGGUGAAAUGCGUAGAGAUCGGGAGGAAUACCAGUGGCGAGGCGGCCUUCUGGACUGACACUGACGCUGAGGUACGAAAGCGUGGGUAGCAAACAGGAUUAGAUACCCUGGUAGUCCACGCCGUAAACGAUGUCGACUAGCCGUUGGGGUCCUCGAGACCUUUGUGGCGCAGUUAACGCACUAAGUCGACCGCCUGGGGAGUACGGCCGCAAGGUUAAAACUCAAAUGAAUUGACGGGGGCCCGCACAAGCGGUGGAGCAUGUGGUUUAAUUCGAUGCAACGCGAAGAACCUUACCUACCCUUGACAUCGUGCGAACUUGGUAGAGAUACCUUGGUGCCUUCGGGAACGCACAGACAGGUGCUGCAUGGCUGUCGUCAGCUCGUGUUGUGAAAUGUUGGGUUAAGUCCCGUAACGAGCGCAACCCUUGUCCCUAUUUGCCAGCGAUUCGGUCGGGAACUCUAGGGAGACUGCCGGUGACAAACCGGAGGAAGGUGGGGACGACGUCAAGUCAUCAUGGCCCUUACGGGUAGGGCUACACACGUGCUACAAUGGCCGGUACAAUGGGUUGCAAAGCGGCGACGUGGAGCUAAUCCCAUAAAGCCGGUCUCAGUCCGGAUCGGAGUCUGCAACUCGACUCCGUGAAGUCGGAAUCGCUAGUAAUCGUGCAUCAGAAUGGCACGGUGAAUACGUUCCCGGGCCUUGUACACACCGCCCGUCACACCAUGGGAGUGGACUGCACCAGAAGUGGUAGCCUAAC
rnacentral:rRNA from 1 species